rnacentral:rRNA from 1 species
GGGCGGAAAGGGCGCGUAGGCGGCUCGAUAAGUAGGGGGUGAAAUCCCCGGGCUUAACCUGGGAACUGCGUUUGUGACUGCAAGGCUAGAGUACGGCAGAGGGGGGUGGAAUUCCUGGUGUAGCAGUGAAAUGCGUAGAGAUCAGGAGGAACACCGAUGGCGAAGGCAGCCCCCUGGGCCUGUACUGACGCUCAUGCACGAAAGCGUGGGGAGCAAACAG